rnacentral:rRNA from 1 species
UACGUAGGGUGCGAGCGUUAAUCGGAAUUACUGGGCGUAAAGCGUGCGCAGGCGGUUUGUAAGCCAGAUGUGAAAUCCCCGGGCUUAACCUGGGAAUGGCAUUUGGGACUGCAAGGCUGGAGUGCGGCAGAGGAGACUGGAAUUCCUGGUGUAGCAGUGAAAUGCGUAGAUAUCAGGAGGAACACCGAUGGCGAAGGCAGGUCUCUGGGCUGACACUGACGCUCAUGCACGAAAGCGUGGGAGCAACAGGAUAGAA